UACGAAGGGGGCUAGCGUUGCUCGGAAUUACUGGGCGUAAAGGGUGCGUAGGCGGGUCUUUAAGUCAGAUGUGAAAUCCCCGGGCUUAACCUGGGAACUGCGUUUGAAACUGGAAGGCUAGAGUGUGGCAGAGGGGGGUGGAAUCCACGGUGUAGCAGUGAAAUGCGUAGAUAUGUGGAGGAACACCGAUGGCGAAGGCAGCCCCCUGGGUCAAGAUUGACGCUCAUGCACGAAAGCGUGGGGAGCAAACAGG
rnacentral:rRNA from 1 species